UGGGGAAUAUUGGACAAUGCCCGAAAGGGUGAUCCAGCGACGCCGCGUGGGUGAUGAAGGCCUUCGGGUCUUAAAACCCUGUCAAGCGGGAAGAAUAUAUGACGGUACCGCUAAAGGAAGCCCCGGCUAACUCCGUGCCAGCAGCCGCGGUAAUACGGAGGGGGCAAGCGUUACCCGGAUUUACUGGGUGUAAAGGGUCCGCAGGCGGUUAAGCAAGUCAGUUUUUAAAUACUCUGGCUCAACCAGAGAAUUGGAACAGAUACUGCUUAACUAUGAGUCUAGAGGGGGAAAACGGAACUGCCGGUGUAGCGGUGAAAUGCGUAGAUAUCGGCAGGAACACCUGUGGCGAAGGCGGUUUUCUACUCUGGUACUGACGCUCAUGGACGAAAGCGUGGGGAGCGAUCGG
rnacentral:rRNA from 1 species